CCUACGGGAGGCAGCAGUGAGGAAUAUUGGUCAAUGGACGAGAGUCUGAACCAGCCAAGUCGCGUGAAGGAUGACUGCCCUAUGGGUUGUAAACUUCUUUUAUAUGGGAGUAAAAUGUUCCACGUGUGGGUUUUUGUAUGUACCAUAUGAAUAAGGAUCGGCUAACUCCGUGCCAGCAGCCGCGGUAAUACGGAGGAUCCGAGCGUUAUCCGGAUUUAUUGGGUGUAAAGGGAGCGUAGGUGGAUUGUUAAGUCAGUUGUGAAAGUUUGCGGCUCAACCGUAAAAUUGCAGUUGAAACUGGCAGUCUUGAGUACAGUAGAGGUGGGCGGAAUUCGUGGUGUAGCGGUGAAAUGCUUAGAUAUCACGAAGAACUCCGAUGGCGAAGGCAGCAUACCGGGGCCCGACUGACGCUGAGGCACGAAAGCGUGGGGAUCGAACAGGAUUAGAUACCCGUGUAGUC
rnacentral:rRNA from 1 species